UCAGCAAGGAGAUCACUAUAAGACAUUAGCAAUUUAAGAAAUAAUUUAUUAACUAACCAAACUUUAUCCCUAUCCCAUCUUUUUUAGUCAUUUUUGAUAGACUUUGAUAUAUAUCUUUUAUAUUUUUCUGUUUUUCUAGUCAAGAAAAGAUCAGUCCUAUUUCUACUAGGAUCCUACUACUAAAGAAGUGAUGUUAUUUGAAUUCUUAUUACACGGGGAAGAUAAAAGCAAGAGAGCUAACUAAUAUCCAAGUCUCCUAUAAAAGCUUUGUUUUGUUAGGUCUCCUCGCCAUUUUGUCUAAACAUAGAGGGAGAAGAAACUAGUCUUUUGUUCUUUUUGCAAAAAGCAGUUUAUAUAUCUUCCUUGGUCUCCAUCCUAACAACAACAGAAACCGAAUCGAAGGAAGAAAAGAGGUUAGUAGAUGUACUGGGAUUAGAGGUUAAUAUGAAGAAUGCGACUUACAUUAGAGCGCUCCGAAGACGUGGUAGGGAGGACUCCCCUUCAUUUUGCAGCAUCAACAGGUUAUCUUGGAGGGCUUUGCAUCCUAUUAGAAAGAUGUCCCUCUGAUUCUCAUUGAGCAGAUAGUAGCGGCACCUUGCCAAUCCAUUCUGCAUCAAGCAAAGGUCAUGUUCAUAUAGUUAAGCUGCUUCUUGAACAUUAUCCCGAUUUAAAGGAAUUAAGGAACUCAAGUGGAGAAAACAUACCUCAUGUUGCAACGCGCGAAGUGUGGCAAAGACAACUCUUGAUGCUUGUGGUUACAUGGUUUUUGCUAACGAUAAUAUCAU
rnacentral:lncRNA from 1 species